AGAGUAUAGCUCAGUGGUAGAGUGAAUGCUUAGCAUGCAGGAGGUCCUGGGUUCAAUCCCCAGUAGCUCCG
rnacentral:tRNA from 1 species